CAAAGUCGGACGCUCAAUCGACUGAGCCACCCAGGCGCCCCAGGACUGCCUCGUUUUAAAACAGUCCUAUCACGUGACACCCCAAGCUCCUCCCCGCCAAGUCCCUUCCUCAUUGUAUGGUCAAGGUCUGUCUCUCCUCUGGCCUCUCCCCUAAACCAUGCGCUCGCACAAACAAGGCCAUUUCCCUUUUUCUCUGAUCUCCAGCUCAGGGUCUGGGGCACAGAAGGUGCUGAACUGACCUGCGUCCAGUUUCCACGAGACAGGCCAGGGGUGCAGUGGUGACGUUUCCAGAUCUUGCCACCAGAGGGCAGGAGUGCACAGCAGCUGGGGCGCUGGCUGUGCCGCAGGGACCAGGUGGGGCGGGAGGGGUGGAUGCCUGGGAGCCCAGGGUCCAGGCCUCAGGCAAAGGGACCGAGGAAGGCCAGGUGGAGCCAGUCUGGGGCGGGGAACAUCUCUGCACUUCCCCCGCCCAUUCCAGCCUGAGCUCCGGAGACCUCCUUUUCUCUUCCUUCCCUCCCUGCUGCCCUGCUCCUGUCCUCCUCUCUUGACUCUCUCCAGGUUCCUGGGUCAAUCUGGACUCUGUGUGACUUUGGGCCACCCACCUUUCUCUCUAAGUCUUAGUUUUCCCAUCUGUGAAAUGGGAAAAUAAUGAUAAUACCCAGCUUUUGUGCAUUUCUCUCCCUGGGGAUUUGGGACCCUCAGUGCAGGGCUGUCCUCCUGCCCCCUCGUGGAUGAUGCCUCAAGCCCAGGUCUGUGGUGCUGCCUGGGACUGGAUGAACCGGGACCAUCACUCUUCCUCUAGCCUAGAAGCUGCUGCAGCCGCUCGAGGGCAUCAGCUGAGUCUGAUCUGUUCAUGAACGGACGAGCAGGAGAAAUGAAUGGAUGGGACCAGCCAGCCAGCUCCAGAGGAAAUCAGCGGCCAAAGGGUCAGCCAGAGGGGACCCUAAGAUGCCCCAAUCCAAACCCCAGGGAGUGGGGGCAUCGUAGGGUCCCCUCUGGCUGUGACGACCCACAGUCAGACUUGCAAGCCGGGUCCAGAACCUGGGUGACUGCCGAGCUCCCGUCCUCUCCUUAUGCCACGCUGCCUCCUCACAAAGGGUUUCUGGGCGGGCAUGGAAAUGAGAUGUGUCAUAACAGUGGGUUCUCAGUCCCCAGCUGAGCUCAUAGCUUUGUUAGAGCCAGGCCUGUCUCUCCUGGCACUGGGGCCCACCUGUAGGGACUUGCCCGUUGCUGACCCAGAUUUCCAGGCCACUCUGUCAACACCUCCAGGGCAGGGCAGAGCGUGGCUUCUCAGAGGCCCAAACAGAACCCAUGACCAACAUCGCAGAGACCCAAUGCACCAUGGGAGGACAUCCAC